rnacentral:rRNA from 1 species
CAAGUCGUGGGGCAGCGCGGGUAGCAAUACCUGGCGGCGACCGGCAAACGGGUGCGGAACACGUACGCAACCUUCCUUUAAGCGGGGAAUAGCCCAGGGAAACUUGGAUUAAUACCCCAUAAGACAGUGGAGUGGCAUCACUCAGCUGUUAAAGCUCCGGCACUUAAAGAUGGGCGUGCGGCUGAUUAGGUAGUUGGCGGGGUAAUGGCCCACCAAGCCGACGAUCAGUAACUGGUGUGAGAGCACGACCAGUCACACGGGCACUGAGACACGGGCCCGACUCCUACGGGAGGCAGCAGUAAGGAAUAUUGGUCAAUGGACGCAAGUCUGAACCAGCCAUGCCGCGUGGAGGAUGAAGGCCCUCUGGGUUGUAAACUUCUUUUAUUGGGGAAGAAACCGGACUUUUCUAAGGCCGUUGACGGUACCCAACGAAUAAGCACCGGCUAACUCCGUGCCAGCAGCCGCGGUAAUACGGAGGGUGCAAGCGUUAUCCGGAUUCACUGGGUUUAAAGGGUGCGUAGGUGGGCAGGUAAGUCAGUGGUGAAAUCUCCGGGCUUAACCCGGAAACUGCCGUUGAUACUAUCUGUCUUGAAUGUAGUGGAGGUGAGCGGAAUAUGUCAUGUAGCGGUGAAAUGCUUAGAUAUGACAUAGAACAUCGAUUGCGAAGGCAGCUCGCUACACUAUUAUUGACACUGAGGCACGAAAGCGUGGGGAUCAAACAGGAUUAGAUACCCUGGUAGUCCACGCCCUAAACGAUGGAUACUCGACAUCAGCGAUACACUGUUGGUGUCUGAGCGAAAGCAUUAAGUAUCCCACCUGGGAAGUACGACCGCAAGGUUGAAACUCAAAGGAAUUGACGGGGGUCCGCACAAGCGGUGGA